CACGUAGGCAGCAAGCGUUGUUCGGAAUUACUGGGCGUAAAGAGUGUGUAGGCGGUGCUCUAAGUUCGUUGUGAAAUCUCCCGGCUUAACUGGGAGGGUGCGGCGGAAACUGGAGUGCUUGAGCGCGGGAGAGGAAAGCGGAAUUCCUGGUGUAGCGGUGAAAUGCGUAGAUAUCAGGAGGAACACCUGUGGUGUAGACGGCUUUCUGGACCGUAGCUGACGCUGAGACACGAAAGCGUGGGUAGCAAACAGG
rnacentral:rRNA from 1 species